CUGCGGGGGUUGGAUUUUCACACUUCCAGUUUCUUUAGAAUAGUGUAUUCCUUCAACACCAUAAAUAAAUAAAUAAACAGAUCAGAGCUGCGGUUGAAUUUUUUGUCCGUGGUAUUUUUUUUAUUAUUAUUAUUAUAUAUAUAUAUAUUUUUUUUAUGGCUGCGGGUUUUUGGCGACUGUUGUGCCGCUAAGGCCGAGGUGGCCGACGUGAUUUGUUGCGGUUCUUGGUUUUUUCAUCUCUCGCUACGACUUGAAUCUUGAGCUGCAGUUAUUGGAAGAGCAGUUGGAGUUUUGGGCUGUUGGAGAGCUUCGUCUAGGGGAUCAAGGCGGGGUCUACAUUAACUUAGAGCUGCAUUCCGCACCCCCUUUCUUAUUCUCUUCCUUGUGAUUGGGCAUCGCGGAUGCUCUGACAAGAAGAAACAUCUGCCGAUGUGUGAUCUUUUUGGUGUGUGCGACUAGACUAGUCUCCGACGAAGGCAGCGAGAAGUGGAUUUUCCUUCCCUUCUGUUCCGUGUCCAAGUGGUAGUGACAAUCGUGGCUGUGCGCGCUUAAGAAGAACUCAAGAUUUUCUGUGGGAGCUGCGAUUGGUUGAGAGAAGUAGCAAGUUGAUGCAUGAUGGACACUCGUUGAUCCACGAGGUUGACAUUUCGGUGGUCGAAUCGAGCUGCGGAGACGUGAGGUGAUCUGAUUAUUGAGCUCUUGCGGCAUGGCGAAGGUCAAUUGAGUACUUCAUAUGAGUGUUGUGGACUGAUGAACGUAUGGUGAACAAGCUCCGAAGCAACAGAAAGGAUGUCGACGUCGUAAGAAAAGAAUUAGUGGCACAUGACUAGCUUGGAUGUGGAACCAAUGACGGAGACGACCAAGGUUGAAGUAUCCCAAUUCGGAGAAGUCAUCUUAGGGCAUCGCAGCAACUCCAGUUCCAAUCAGAAGUGGCGUUGACGAGCUCAUGUGCGAAUUGUUCCUAGUUCUUCUUUCUUGCCAGCAAAUCUGUCGAGGUGUGGCCUUGCCUUUGGUGUUUGGUGGGUGGAGCGACGCUCUUCUGUGACUUUCGCAUUCUUGAUUGAGGCAGCAUGCGGUGGUGUGCUAGAGCAGUCAGUUGAUCCAUACACUAGCAAUUUUGAGAAAGAUUGAUGGAUAAACAAGAAUCGCUGCUUCGGAGUUGCUGAACCGGAGUCGCUGCUACGGUAGUGGAGCCUGAGUCGCUGCGGUGCAGGCUGGAGUUAAUUGAAAGUUACAUCUCCUUCUCCGUAAGAGUUUCAAAAGGGAUAAUUUUAGGAAAAUUGAAAAAAUUGAAUGAGAAUUGGGCUAGUACGAAGUUAGGUUUAGGGUUGAAUUAGGUUAAAUUGGAUGAACAAUGGAAGUUGAAUGAUCAAAUUUAAAUUGAAUGAAAAUUAUUGAAUGAAUUUUUAUAAUAGGAUGAAUAGUCAUUCAAG